UCAUAAUAAACGUUCUGUUUGUUCGUUUUAGGAAGACACAAAGAGGGCGAUUGACCUUUCUAACAUGGACUUGACGUCUUUGUCCCAUAUGGAUCAGCUAGUGCUUAUGAAAGACAUCAACUUGUGUGACAAUAAGCUCACCUCCCUGGAUGAGUGCAACAUGUUACAAUGCGUGCGCACCGUGGACGCCAGUAAUAAUAACCUGCAGUUUAUCACUAGAAGGCAUGCGUUUAAACUUAGUCUUCUAGAGGAGCUGUCUCUUUCAAAUAACAAUAUUACAAGUUUAGAUUGUCUUAAAAGUCUUCACUGCAAAUCUCUACGGAAGCUCGAUUUACGAGGAAAUCCAUGUUGUCUGUCGCCUGGUUAUAGAUACGGUUAAAUCACUUCUAACGACUCUUCAAGAGCUGGAUGGCGAGCAGAUCUAACGAACGCCUUUAAUUGAACUAUUUUUUUGUUUGUUUGUUUUUUUAUUUUUGUGGCGUUUUCAAUUCUCUUGGCGGUUCGAGUCAGAAGAUUUCAGUAGAGGAGCAUAUCAAAAGUAAUAUAUGAUUUACAUCAGCUAAUGAGCAAAUAAAUCAAAGCUUUCCAAAUGCGUGAGUUACAGUGUAUUUUGAAAAACAUUUAUUUAAAAAACGAAGAUGAAAGCGUUUCGACUUUUCGAUGAUCUUUCUAGCCUCAAUGUCAAGAAAAUUGGAUUUUGAGUCGUGUGAAAAUAGUUCGAGCAUAAAUGCUAGCUGAUGCA